rnacentral:rRNA from 1 species
ACUCAUGGCGGACGGGUGAGUAACGCGUAAAGAACUUGCCCUUUAGACUGGGAUAACAGAGGGAAACUUCUGAUAAUACUGGAUAAGUUAGUAUAUCGCAUGAUAUGCAAAUGAAAGCUACGGCACUAAAGGAGAGCUUUGCGUCCUAUUAGCUAGUUGGUAAGGUAAGAGCUUACCAAGGCGAUGAUAGGUAGCCGGCCUGGGAGGGUGGACGGCCACAAGGGGACUGAGAUACGGCCCUUACUCCUACGGGAGGCAGCAGUU